rnacentral:rRNA from 8 species
AAAACUUUCAACAACGGAUCUCUUGGUUCCGGCAUCGAUGAAGAACGCAGCGAAAUGCGAUACGUAAUGUGAAUUGCAGAAUUCAGUGAAUCAUCGAGUCUUUGAACGCACAUUGCGCCCCCUGGUAUUCCGGGGGGCAUGCCUGUCCGAGCGUCAUU